GUUACAGGUGGUAUGGUGGGCGUGGUCCAAGCAGUAUAAAAGCGGAAGCUGCAAACUUUCUUAAAAGGUGUCAGUUUCCAUGGGACGCCGAGACGUAUCUAGGUUCCACACGUAGAUUUGUCAAGAAUGUGGGAGGCCCUGUGGGUUUUUUAGACCAGGCUGUGUAUACAGGCAGAUGAGGGUGGUGUACGCGAUACAGAGAUGUUUUUUGUUGCUCCUGCUGUCCUUAGGUUUAUGUUUUGUUUCUUUUAGUUAGUCCGACCCUGUUUGAUGUCUUUGGUCCCGUUGUUUACUUGUGAGGGCGGACUAACUGUUUUGUUUUUUUUUUAUCUUUUUUUCAUUGAUCUGUUUGUUUUCUCCUUGUUCACUCUCCCACGAGGCUGUGAGCUGGUAGACAAUGUUAUAUUGCAUCUGAUCGUCUGCAGUGCUGAGUGGUGAUCGUGUGCAGUGUUUUUUUCACCUGAUUGCUGUGAAGCUUUAUAAGUGUGCGACUUUUCUGGUUCUGGUUAUGCGGGUUUGUCCGCCAUCCACUAAUGUCAGAGUUUAAAUAUUAUAUUGUCUACCCUAGGCUAUCAGUUUCGUAGAAGGAGAGGUAAAGGAUUUUCUGUCUAUUUGUUUAAUAAAGAACGUAUAUUUU